rnacentral:ncRNA from 1 species
GGGCACCUACGGGGGCCUUUUUACAUCAGGAUCGGGGCCGCGCGCCUUCGGUCCGCCAAGCAAACGGAAGAAGCUA